ensembl:lncRNA
GUAUAAUAAGUGCCUAGUCACCAAGGAAUUCCAGGAAUGUGGUCUCCAUAAUGAAAAUAGGCUCCUGGACCAGAGGGGCCCAUUCACCAGCCUAGCAGUCAGGGGUGGUCUCCAAACCUCAGCAGCCUCUGCCUUGCUGGGCAGGAGCAUUUGCUGAAACUGUCCCCACUUGGCUCUGAGCCUGUUUGCACAUCCCCAUUUCCAGAUGCCCAGCUGCAGCACCUCCUGAAAAAAAGUGAGGACGCUUAUGAAUAUUUGGCUUCAUAUCAGAAAGAAACAAAGCAUAUUGGUCUUCAACCUAACAUCAUUUGAUUAUUUUUUAUUUAAUAUCAAACAAUGAUAUUAUCAUUCCCAUUUUAAAGGUGAAGUUGAGGCACAGAGAAGCUACAUCACUUGCCUAAGGGCUCAAUUCUUGCAAGUAGAGAGGCCAAGAUGUGAAUCCUGGAAGCUCUCUCUGGAGUUGAUGCUCUAACAACUGUGCUUUUGCUACAAAGUGACUAAGCUGGGACCUCUGGUGCUGACUUCUUACUGCACCAUGGGAAAAACCAGGGCCAUGAGGGAGGUUCAAGAGGAGGCAAGGCUACUUGUUUGGGCUAGAUAAGAAUGUCUUCAGGCUCCUUCUGAGAGCUUAAUUCUUUUAUGUUUUACUCCAAAAAAGCAUGGAUUCAGGAUGCUAGUCAAUGAUAUUUCCCAAGGAAUCAGUGUAGUGAGGUGGUCUAGGGCACAGACUUAGAUCUGGAGGGGCUAGAGAUGCAUCUCUGUUCCCUUAUACCAGGUGUUCUCUGAUGAUGGGCUGAACACACUAGCUUCUUCAUCUUUGCACUGGAGAGAAUGAAACUGACCUCAGCAUCCUGACAUUUGAUGAGAUGCGCUUAAUGACUAUUUUGGUGCAGGAUGUGGUGCUCACUCAAAGCCCUUGGAAGAAGAAAAAACCCUACAUCGCCUGGAACAGGUGGUCACCUUCUCUGGGACUCAGCUGGCCCAGCUGUACAAUAGGGAAAAUGAGAAAACCCCAUUUCAGAGCAAGGGCCAUUGGUAAAAUAUACACAAAAAGUUAUGUGGUGAGGACAGCACAUGCAGGCUCAAGGGUGGAAUGGGGUUGGCUGGUGCAGGACCCUGGGUGGCUCUGGAUGAACAGGCAGGGACACCAACAGGGCCCUUGGGAGAGCUAGGCUGCACACUGUUUUGAGGCUGAAAUCUCUGCUGGCUUCUGAAAUCCAGGGACUUUGGGGAGAGAGAAGGACCCAGCAUGAACUGAAAUGUUAACUAUGCCCUUUUGUUCCUAGUACCCCUGGGAACCACAGCUGAGCUCCAGAGGACUGAAGCACCUGGCUUGCAAGGACAGCUGAGACGAAACUCACAAGGAGGAUCAGUUGCAGCUCAAGAUUCAGGUGGAAUGAGUCAGAGGCUUUGGUGACCGAAAUGGAGCUGUGAUUUUCCACAAGAAUUUACUGAAACCAGACCAGGUGGUGAACCACAACCUCUCAAGGUAGUUGGAGAGACCAUAAUCCCCAGUAGGUAAGGCCUACAUGUUCUUUCAGCUAGACGUAGCUAUAUGAAGACAAUAUCCUAUAAAGAAUUAUGGGGAUUUAUGUUGCAGGCCAGAAAUAAGGCAGGAGAUUAGCACUGGCCAGCUGGCUAGGCAAGUAGGCAUGACUUGUCAAUCACAGAGAUCCAAGACACAUGGCCAGAAAAACAAUGCCCAAACCUUGCUCCCCUGGGACCAAUCCAAACAUGCUGAUUUUAAUUCUUCUGGCACAAAAUCAAGCAGGUUUUUGUCACGACAGCCUAGAUCUGACUUCAGAAUGAGAACUAUGAAAGAUAUUGGCCAUUAAUCUUGUGGCUCCUAUGCUCUCUUUCCAAGUGGUUUGCUCUCACUCUGCAGUGUGUACUUCUUUUCCUACCUUUAAUAUAAGUAAAACUUACUACCUUUUGCACUUGUCUUGUCCAAUUCUUUGAUCAGGACAAGAACCUGGAAAUUAUCUCUAGAAGGAGCCCACAGCACCCCAGAACCCAAGCAACAAGAAUAUGAUCACAAGUAUAACACGGUCAAAGCCAAAGGGAGAGAAGGGUUCAUUGUGACCUACUCUCAUAUCUCCCAGAUGAGUAAACCAAAGUCUGUAAGGGGCUGGGCCAUAUGAAAUAGUGGUGGGAUUAGAGUGAUGUGACACCCAGUACAGUAUUCUCUCUGUACUGGGGGAGUCCAGAAAGUAAG